rnacentral:rRNA from 1 species
GCCUAUGGCCAUACCAGUCUGAAAGUGCCUGAUCUUGUCAGAUCUCAGAAGUUAUGCAGACUUGGGCCUGAUUAGUACUUGUAUGGGAGACCAACUAGAGACCUCAAGUGCUGUAAGCU